rnacentral:rRNA from 1 species
CCUACGGGUGGCAGCAGUGAGGAAUAUUGGUCAAUGGGAGAGAUCCUGAACCAGCCAAGCCGCGUGAGGGAAGACGGCCCUAUGGGUUGUAAACCUCUUUUGUCGGAGAACAAAACCCGGGACGUGUCCCGGACUGCGUGUAUCCGAAGAAAAAGCAUCGGCUAACUCCGUGCCCGCAGCCGCGGUAAUAGGGGGGAUGCGAGCGUUAUCCGGUUUAUUGGGGUUAAAGGGGGAGUAGGCGGGCCGUUAAAGUAGCGGGAAAAUUGCGGGGGUCAAACCCGGCGAGCCGUUGAAACUGGCAGACUUGAGUUGGCGAGAAGUACGCGGAAUGCGCGGUGUAGCGGUGAAAUGCAUAGAUAUCGCGCAGAACUCCGAUUGCGAAGGCAGCGUACCGGCGCCAGACUGACGCUGAGGCACGAAAGCGUGGGGAGCGAACAGGAUUAGAUACCCUUGUAGUC